rnacentral:tRNA from 1 species
UCCGGCAUAGCUCAGCGGUAGAGCGGGUGACUGUUAAUCACUAGGUCGUAGGUUCGAAUCCUACUGCCGGAGCCA